AACUCCAUUUGAGCCAGCAUUCAAGGAACAGAACAAAAGUGGGGCAAAGGACACAUUAUGCUGUUUUUGUUGGAACUCAGAAAAGCAGACAAGCUUAGGAGUGCUUAGGACAUUAAUUAAUCUGCCAGUAACCAUAUGAAGGGACAUCUGGGGGGGGGGAUUAAGUACCUUACUUUAUUAAGGCAUUAAUUAUUCUUUCCACCCCUCUAGUGUACUUCAGAUGAUUCAGCUUCCCUAAGAAACAGGAUUCUGGCCAGGUGACUGAUGGGUUUAGUUAGAUAAAUUCUCAACAGAAGAGAUAAUGGUUACAUAAUAUUUUGGGAACACAGAAUGUCAGGUCUCCACUCAGUGCCCUUGGUAGAACUCAGAUUCAUUCUUUUGACCAGGGUAAAGUAUUUUUUCUUUAAUGAGUAUUCAUACAGCCUUGAUACCUUUAUCCCCCUUUUCAAAUUUUAAGAAGAGAUAAAGACAUUAUGAGGAAGGAUGCACACACACACACACACACACACACACACACCAUUGUGUUGUUCAAAUUCACACAGUGUGGUUCAAGUGCCUCUUCUGCAUCCAUUUUAUGUCUGGGUGUUUCAUAACCUGUGGGGAGUGGAAUGUUGAAAUAUUCUAUUAUUGUUGUGUUCCUAUCUAUUUCUUUUUAGAUCUCAAAGUGCUUUCUUUGUUUUGAUGCUUGGGCAUUGGACUCAUGUGUAAAUGUCUGUGUGUAUAUAUAUUCAUAAUCAUUUCAUCUUUCUAAGAAUUGUUCCUUUAUUAUUAAAGUAUUAUUUUAAUGGCUCAUUAGAUGGAGAUAUUGAAUUUUAGUCAUAAUAUGUUUCCUUACCCCUCAUCCUCCCAAAGAAACUAUUCUUCUCAUCAAGUUCCC
rnacentral:lncRNA from 1 species